UAGGGAAUCUUCCGCAAUGGACGCAAGUCUGACGGAGCAACGCCGCGUGAGUGAAGAAGGAUUUCGGUUCGUAAAACUCUGUUGUUAGAGAAGAACAGCGCAUAGAGUAACUGUUAUGCGUGUGACGGUAUCUAACCAGAAAGCCACGGCUAACUACGUGCCAGCAGCCGCGGUAAUACGUAGGUGGCAAGCGUUGUCCGGAUUUAUUGGGCGUAAAGCGAGCGCAGGCGGUCAAUUAAGUCUGAUGUGAAAGCCCCCGGCUCAACCGGGGAGGGUCAUUGGAAACUGGUUGACUUGAGUGCAGAAGAGGAGAGUGGAAUUCCAUGUGUAGCGGUGAAAUGCGUAGAUAUGUGGAGAAACACCAGUGGCGAAGGCGACUCUCUGGUCUGUAACUGACGCUGAGGUUCGAAAGCGUGGGUAGCAAACAGG
rnacentral:rRNA from 1 species